rnacentral:rRNA from 1 species
AGAGUUUGAUCCUGGCUCAGGAUGAACGCUGGCGGCGUGCCUAAUACAUGCAAGUCGAGCGAACAGAUAAGGAGCUUGCUCCUUUGACGUUAGCGGCGGACGGGGGAGUAACACGUGGAUAACCUACCUAUAAGACUGGGAUAACUUCGGGAAACCGGAGCUAAUACCGGAUAACAUAUUGAACCGCAUGGUUCAAUAGUGAAAGGCGGCUUUGCUGUCACUUAUAGAUGGAUCCGCGCCGUAUUAGCUAGUUGGUAAGGUAACGGCUUACCAAGGCAACGAUACGUAGCCGACCUGAGAGGGUGAUCGGCCACACUGGAACUGAGACACGGUCCAGACUCCUACGGGAGGCAGCAGUAGGGAAUCUUCCGCAAUGGGCGAAAGCCUGACGGAGCAACGCCGCGUGAGUGAUGAAGGUCUUCGGAUCGUAAAACUCUGUUAUCAGGGAAGAACAAAUGUGUAAGUAACUGUGCACAUCUUGACGGUACCUGAUCAGAAAGCCACGGCUAACUACGUGCCAGCAGCCGCGGUAAUACGUAGGUGGCAAGCGUUAUCCGGAAUUAUUGGGCGUAAAGCGCGCGUAGGCGGUUUUUUAAGUCUGAUGUGAAAGCCCA